rnacentral:rRNA from 1 species
GGUCUGAUCCUGGCUCAGAUUGAACGCUGGCGGGAUGCUUACACAUGCAAGUCGAACGGCAGCACGGACUUCGGUCUGGUGGCGGGUGGCGAACGGGUGAGUAAUGUAUCGGAACGUGCCUAGUAGCGGGGAUAACUGGCGCGAAAGCGUAGCUAAUACCGCAUACGCCCUGGGAAAGCGGGGGACCUUCGGCCUUCGCAAUUAGAGCGGCCGAUAUCGGAUUAGCUAGUUGGUGUGGGUAACGGCUCACCAAGGCGACGAUCCGUAGCUGGUUUGAGAGGACGACCAGCCACACUGGGACUGAGACACGCCCAGACUCCUACGGGAGGCAGCAGUGGGGAAUUUGACAAUGGGGAAACCCCCGAUCCAGCCAUCCUGGCGUGUGCGAUGAAGGCCUUCGGGUUGUAAAGCACUUUUGGCAGGAAAGAAACGGCACGGGAUAAUACCCGUGCAACUGACGGUACCUGGGCAGAACAAGCACCGGCUAACUACGCCAGCAGCCGCGGUAAUAAUGUAGGGUGCAAGCGUUAAUCGGAAUUACCGGGCGUAAAAGCGUGCGCAGGCGGUUCGGAAAGAAAGAUGUGAAAUCCCAGAGCUUAACUUUGGAACUGCAUUUUUAACUACCGAGCUAGGUGUGUCAGAGGGGAGGUGGAAUUCCGCGUGUAGUAGUGAAAUGCGUAGAUAUGCGGAGGAACACCGAUGGCGAAGGCAGCUUCCUGGGAUAACACUGACGCUCAUGCACGAAAGCGUGGGGAGCAAACAGGAUUAGAUACCCUGGUAGUCCACGCCCUAAACGAUGUCAACUAGCUGCUGGGGCCUUCGGGCCUGGUAGCGCAGCUAACGCGUGAAGUUGACCGCCUGGGGAGUACGGUCGCAAGAUUAGAACUCAAAGGAAUUGGGACCCGCACAAGCGGUGGAUGAUGUGGAUUAAUUCGAUGCAACGCGAAAACCUCACCUACCCUUGACAUGUCUGGAAUCCCGAAGAGAUUUGGGAGUGCUCGCAAGAGAACCGGAACACAGGUGCUGCAUGGUUGUCGUCAGCUCGUGUCGUGAGAUGUUGCCAAGUCCCGCAACGAGCGCAACCCUUGUCAUUAGUUGCUACGAAAGGGCACCUAAUGAGACUGCCGGUGACAAACCGGAGGAAGGUGGGGAUGACGUCAAGUCCUUCAUGGCCCUUAUGGGUAGGGCUUCACACGUCAUACAAUGGUCGGGACAGAGGGUCGCCAACCGGCGAGGGGGAGCCAAUCCCAGAAACCCGAUCGUAGUCCGGAUCGCAGUCUGCAACUCGACUGCGUGAAGUCGGAAUCGCUAGUAAUCGCGGAUCAGCAUGUCGCGGUGAAUACGUUCCCGGGUCUUGUACACACCGCCCGUCACACCAUGGGAGUGGGUUUUACCAGAAGUAGUUAGCCUAACCGUAAGGAGGGCGAUUAACACGACAGGAUUCAUGACUGGGGUGAAGUCGUAACAAGGUAA